rnacentral:rRNA from 1 species
UUAUUUGAGAGUUUGAUCCUGGCUCAGGACGAACGCUGGCGGCGUGCCUAAUACAUGCAAGUUGAGCGCUGAAGGUUGGUACUUGUACCGACUGGAUGAGCAGCGAACGGGUGAGUAACGCGUGGGGAAUCUGCCUUUGAGCGGGGGACAACAUUUGGAAACGAAUGCUAAUACCGCAUAAAAACUUUAAACACAAGUUUUAAGUUUGAAAGAUGCAAUUGCAUCACUCAAAGAUGAUCCCGCGUUGUAUUAGCUAGUUGGUGAGGUAAAGGCUCACCAAGGCGAUGAUACAUAGCCGACCUGAGAGGGUGAUCGGCCACAUUGGGACUGAGACACGGCCCAAACUCCUACGGGAGGCAGCAGUAGGGAAUCUUCGGCAAUGGACGAAAGUCUGACCGAGCAACGCCGCGUGAGUGAAGAAGGUUUUCGGAUCGUAAAACUCUGUUGGUAGAGAAGAACGUUGGUGAGAGUGGAAAGCUCAUCAAGUGACGGUAACUACCCAGAAAGGGACGGCUAACUACGUGCCAGCAGCCGCGGUAAUACGUAGGUCCCGAGCGUUGUCCGGAUUUAUUGGGCGUAAAGCGAGCGCAGGUGGUUUAUUAAGUCUGGUGUAAAAGGCAGUGGCUCAACCAUUGUAUGCAUUGGAAACUGGUAGACUUGAGUGCAGGAGAGGAGAGUGGAAUUCCAUGUGUAGCGGUGAAAUGCGUAGAUAUAUGGAGGAACACCGGUGGCGAAAGCGGCUCUCUGGCCUGUAACUGACACUGAGGCUCGAAAGCGUGGGGAGCAGAACAGGAUUAGAUACCCUGGUAGUCCACGCCGUAAACGAUGAGUGCUAGAUGUAGGGAGCUAUAAGUUCUCUGUAUCGCAGCUAACGCAAUAAGCACUCCGCCUGGGGAGUACGACCGCAAGGUUGAAACUCAAAGGAAUUGACGGGGGCCCGCACAAGCGGUGGAGCAUGUGGUUUAAUUCGAAGCAACGCGAAGAACCUUACCAGGUCUUGACAUACUCGUGCUAUUCCUAGAGAUAGGAAGUUCCUUCGGGACACGGGAUACAGGUGGUGCAUGGUUGUCGUCAGCUCGUGUCGUGAGAUGUUGGGUUAAGUCCCGCAACGAGCGCAACCCCUAUUGUUAGUUGCCAUCAUUAAGUUGGGCACUCUAACGAGACUGCCGGUGAUAAACCGGAGGAAGGUGGGGAUGACGUCAAAUCAUCAUGCCCCUUAUGACCUGGGCUACACACGUGCUACAAUGGAUGGUACAACGAGUCGCGAGACAGUGAUGUUUAGCUAAUCUCUUAAAACCAUUCUCAGUUCGGAUUGUAGGCUGCAACUCGCCUACAUGAAGUCGGAAUCGCUAGUAAUCGCGGAUCAGCACGCCGCGGUGAAUACGUUCCCGGGCCUUGUACACACCGCCCGUCACACCACGGGAGUUGGGAGUACCCGAAGUAGGUUGCCUAACCGCAAGGAGGGCGCUUCCUAAGGUAAGACCGAUGACUGGGGUGAAGUGGUAACAAGGUAGCCGUAUCGGAAGGUGCGGCUGGAUCACCUCCUUU